rnacentral:sRNA from 1 species
UUUGAAUGAUUCAGCUAAAUUACUCCUCUGGUUUAUGCCCCCAAGUCAACCAAAGUUUUCUUUUUGCUUAGAAAAAAGAGAAAA